CGUAGGCGGCUUUGUAAGUCCGUUGUGAAAUCCCUCGGCUCAACCGAGGAACUGCGACGGAUACUGCUCGGCUUGAGUCCCGGAGAGGGUAGCGGAAUUCCCAGUGUAGCGGUGAAAUGCGUAGAUAUUGGGAGGAACAUCGGUGGCGAAGGCGGCUACCUGGACGGGUACUGACGCUGAUGCGCGAAAGCUAGGGGAGCAAACA
rnacentral:rRNA from 1 species